rnacentral:sRNA from 1 species
ACUACAUCAAGGUGCUGCACAUUUUCAUGAUUGAGAGUCAGAAAUCUCUAUCCUCUCUCUUUUCUCUUUAUUGAUAAUUUGUAUACAAUCUAUUUCUUCUUUUAACUCUUAAAACAUCUUUCUGAGCUAUAUAUAUAAUCUUUCUCUCACUUUCUCUUUUGCUUCUCAUUUGCAGCUCUUAAUUUCUUGUUUUUCUUUGCUAAAAUAGCAGCACUAUAACAGAAUUGUAACGGGCGUACUACUGAUUAACAGACUAAGCACUAUCCUAAAUACAGUUUACGAAUCGAUUAAAGAAAGAAAGAGAAAAGAGAUCAGAAGGAAAGGUCGUAUGAAGGGGUUCUUAUAGAGGGGAGAUCAGGACGGAGGAAUAUCAGAAGCCGCGCCACAGUGGAGCGCGGAGCGGAAGAACAUUAAGGGUUACGCGGAG